UAAGGAGUUAGUGACGUUUAGAGCUCAGCUGCAAUGACAGCCAACUCGGGCGGGUUUUCCCAGGACCAGGAUCAAGGGAGUAAGCUGUAAGGGUCAGGGGUUCGAGGUCCUGAUCUGCCAGGCUUCCUACUGCACCUGCAGGAUCUGUCUGCCCACCUCGUCUCCCUGCCGCCACCCACGUCCCAGUCAGUGGCACUGAGGAUCAGUGGGCAUCCUCCUCUUCGUUACCGCACUGCUGACGACUAACUCUCUCUGCCUCCCCCUCUGUUCUGGGCUAAGAAACUGAGAAGAGAAACCUAAAAAAAGGAGCAUCUCGUCCCCCUCAUUUGUACCCCACUGUAUUUUCUAACGGAACAUCUUUUUACUGAUGCGUUCCUUCUGGGUCGUUUCAUUAGCAUCUUUUUACAGCGUGACUCUCUUGGCAGGAAAAUUAAAUAACAUUGUUUUUAUAGAAAACGAGAGAGGCACUUGAAGAUAUGUAUUUACUGUGUGUAUGUGUUAGCUCAAUAUGAAGACUAGGGAGAUCUUUCUACUGAAUCAAAUGCCCCCAAAAGACUAGGAACUGGUCCACCAAGACCGGCCUACCAUGGUGUUUCUUGCAAGAGUAGCUACACAAGUUGUGCUAGAAGCUCAAAUUUACAUUAAACCAGCCCGAUUUGGAAUUGA